GGGGCUGAUUCUGGAUUCGACGGGAUUUGCGAAACCCAAGGUGCAUGCCGAGGGGCGGUUGGCCUCGUAAAAAGCCGCAAAAAAUAGUCGCAAACGACGAAAACUACGCUUUAGCAGCUUAAUAACCUGCUUAGAGCCCUCUCUCCCUAGCCUCCGCUCUUAGGACGGGGAUCAAGAGAGGUCAAACCCAAAAGAGAUCGCGUGGAAGCCCUGCCUGGGGUUGAAGCGUUAAAACUUAAUCAGGCUAGUUUGUUAGUGGCGUGUCCGUCCGCAGCUGGCAAGCGAAUGUAAAGACUGACUAAGCAUGUAGUACCGAGGAUGUAGGAAUUUCGGACGCGGGUUCAACUCCCGCCAGCUCCACAA
rnacentral:tmRNA from 1 species